UACCAGCACCCCGAGUGGUCGGGGCGAUUAUUGGGCCUAAAGCAUCCGUAGCCGGUCCUACAAGUCUUCCGUUAAAUCCCCCUGCUCAACAGAUGGGCUGCGGAAGAUACUAUAGGGCUAGGAGGCGGGAGAGGCAAGCGGUACUCAGUGGGUAGGGGUAAAAUCCUCUGAUCCAUUGAAGGCCACCAGUGGCGAAGGCGGCUUGCCAGAACGCGCUCGACGGUGAGGGAUGAAAGCUGGGGGAGCAAACCGG
rnacentral:rRNA from 1 species